CAAUGAUGGUAGGAAGCACUUUCCCGCUUAGAUUGGAUUUUGCCACAUGAACAAGGGAGUUAUCCUGUAUAUUAGUUCCAGACCCAACAGUGAUGCUGUUAACAUCUCCUGCAGAUAAAAAGAUGGAUCCAGAUGAAGUUGAUCCAUGUAACAUCAAGGUACAUAAAAGCUUCGAAUGGAAGAGGCGUAUGGCGAUGGUAAAUUCUCAGUCACACCAACAGCAAAGUGGCACAAUGACUUUUCAAGGGUGUUCUAAUAUUUGUCUUGGAUAGUUCAGCUCCUCAUCGACUCCUGAGGCGGCUUGGAACGGUUGCCGCUACUGCGAUAUAUGUCUUGCGGGUUUCUUGCGUUGAAGGAUUCUACACUGUUGAUAUCCUGAAUUUGUUGACUGGACUUCUAUCCCCUAAGGCUGGAAGCUUUAGAUGGUGUUCCGUUGCCAGCUAAUGUCUCCGAUGAAUUUAGGCCUUUUAUUCGGUGUCUUCCUGGAUUCAGAUUCUGGUGAGAGUAGCUCCUCUUUCACAAAUUCACAAGAUCUAGGAAGAAGUUAACAAAGUUUAGCAGAUAACAUAAUCUUGUAAAGGGGUCAGGGAUGCAAAACCGACAUGUCAAAUACAGAAGUGCUGUUAGUUUCUUCUUUGCUGAUCGAUUGUUGAGUUACAGAUUCUUUCCAGUUUGACCUGUACUGCUAUUAAUGGAUAGUACUGUUGUUUAGAACCCGUUCAAUCAACGUCAAUUUUUCGGUUC